GCAAACGUGGUCUAGCGGUUAUGAUUUCUGUCUAACAGCUCGCUCAACGCAAGUUUGCCGUAACACAGAAGGUUCCCGGUUCGAUUCCGGGCGUUUGUA